GUGAAAAGUUGAGGAGCUGUUCUGCCAAGCUAUGGGAGAUUACUACAAAAAAGCAAGGAAAAAUAUCUUUAAUCUCUUUUGAGAAAGAGAUGCUGAAGAAACAUAUCUCCAGAGCUGAUGUCAGUUGUAAAUAAGAGGCACAGCACCAAGAACUAGCAUGUGUUAUCUGAUGUGGGAGUGUUUUCUAGAAGGGUGGGAGAGGAGAAGAAAAACCAGGAAUAAGGGAAUUAUUUAUUGCUUUAUGGGAAGAGAAGUCUUCCAAACUUUCAGAUGUACCCAUAGAAAGGGUCCCUUCUACCCGUCUCUUGAGAAAGCAGCACAUUAUGGCCAUCUGGCAUCUCACCACCAUGACACUGGACCUUCCAGAGCUGAGCCAUCCCAAAGCUCAAAUCUCCAUGGGACUCUUUGGCUGAUACGGUGAACAUUCGGGGGCUGCUGGAUGAUCCUUCCUUAACAGGUCCUCUAGGCGUUUGUCCUGUUUCAUUGAGCAGAUAGGGCCAGGCACAAAGAUUUGGUUCUCCCCUGUGAGAGCACCUGAGUGACUGCACCUUGGGGACCCAGCUUGCAGCCAGCAACACCACAGCUGCCUUCUGGGGAAGGAGCAGCAUGCCCCAGGGCUUGCAGGCAGAGACAAAACACACAGUGGCACCUAGGGCAAUGAAUGCAAGUCACAAGAAACAUUUUUCUCCUCAAGGAAAUAAUGCCACUAGAAAAUGAGCAAAGACUCCUUCAGGAUACAUGCAGCAGCUCCCAGUAAGCACUAUAGCAUCUCUUGC
rnacentral:lncRNA from 1 species